rnacentral:rRNA from 1 species
GCGGCGGACGGGUGAGUAACACGUGGGUAACCUGCCUGUAAGACUGGGAUAACUCCGGGAAACCGGGGCUAAUACCGGAUGGUUGUUUGAACCGCAUGGUUCAGACAUAAAAGGUGGCUUCGGCUACCACUUACAGAUGGACCCGCGGCGCAUUAGCUAGUUGGUGAGGUAACGGCUCACCAAGGCAACGAUGCGUAGCCGACCUGAGAGGGUGAUCGGCCACACUGGGACUGAGACACGGCCCAGACUCCUACGGGAGGCAGCAGUAGGGAAUCUUCCGCAAUGGACGAAAGUCUGACGGAGCAACGCCGCGUGAGUGAUGAAGGUUUUCGGAUCGUAAAGCUCUGUUGUUAGGGAAGAACAAGUGCCGUUCAAAUAGGGCGGCACCUUGACGGUACCUAACCAGAAAGCCACGGCUAACUACGUGCCAGCAGCCGCGGUAAUACGUAGGUGGCAAGCGUUGUCCGGAAUUAUUGGGCGUAAAGGGCUCGCAGGCGGUUUCUUAAGUCUGAUGUGAAAGCCCCCGGCUCAACCGGGGAGGGUCAUUGGAAACUGGGGAACUUGAGUGCAGAAGAGGAGAGUGGAAUUCCACGUGUAGCGGUGAAAUGCGUAGAGAUGUGGAGGAACACCAGUGGCGAAGGCGACUCUCUGGUCUGUAACUGACGCUGAGGAGCGAAAGCGU